CGUGUCGAGUACAGUGUUGGGCCU
rnacentral:siRNA from 1 species